GAGAGUUUGAUCCUGGCUCAGAUUGAACGCUGGCGGCAGGCCUAACACAUGCAAGUCGAGCGGUAGAGAGAAGCUUGCUUCUCUUGAGAGCGGCGGACGGGUGAGUAAUGCCUAGGAAUCUGCCUGGUAGUGGGGGAUAACGUUCGGAAACGGACGCUAAUACCGCAUACGUCCUACGGGAGAAAGCAGGGGACCUUCGGGCCUUGCGCUAUCAGAUGAGCCUAGGUCGGAUUAGCUAGUUGGUGGGGUAAUGGCUCACCAAGGCGACGAUCCGUAACUGGUCUGAGAGGAUGAUCAGUCACACUGGAACUGAGACACGGUCCAGACUCCUACGGGAGGCAGCAGUGGGGAAUAUUGGACAAUGGGCGAAAGCCUGAUCCAGCCAUGCCGCGUGUGUGAAGAAGGUCUUCGGAUUGUAAAGCACUUUAAGUUGGGAGGAAGGGCAGUAAAUUAAUACUUUACUGUUUUGACGUUACCGACAGAAUAAGCACCGGCUAACUCUGUGCCAGCAGCCGCGGUAAUACAGAGGGUGCAAGCGUUAAUCGGAAUUACUGGGCGUAAAGCGCGCGUAGGUGGUUAGUUAAGUUGGAUGUGAAAUCCCCGGGCUCAACCUGGGAACUGCAUUCAAAACUGACUGACUAGAGUAUGGUAGAGGGUGGUGGAAUUUCCUGUGUAGCGGUGAAAUGCGUAGAUAUAGGAAGGAACACCAGUGGCGAAGGCGACCACCUGGACUGAUACUGACACUGAGGUGCGAAAGCGUGGGGAGCAAACAGGAUUAGAUACCCUGGUAGUCCACGCCGUAAACGAUGUCAACUAGCCGUUGGGAGCCUUGAGCUCUUAGUGGCGCAGCUNACGCAUUAAGUUGACCGCCUGGGGGAGUACGGCCGCAAGGUUAAAACUCAAUUGAAUUGACGGGGGCCCGCACAAGCCGGUGGAGCAUGUGGUUUAAUUCGAAGCACCGCGAAGAACCUUACCAGGCCUUGACAUCCAAUGAACUUUNCUANAAAUANAUUGGUGCCNUCGGGAACNUUGAAAC
rnacentral:rRNA from 1 species